AGUCGAGCGAACUGAUUAGAAGCUUGCUUCUAUGACGUUAGCGGCGGACGGGUGAGUAACACGUGGGCAACCUGCCUGUAAGACUGGGAUAACUUCGGGAAACCGAAGCUAAUACCGGAUAGGAUCUUCUCCUUCAUGGGAGAUGAUUGAAAGAUGGUUUCGGCUAUCACUUACAGAUGGGCCCGCGGUGCAUUAGCUAGUUGGUGAGGUAACGGCUCACCAAGGCAACGAUGCAUAGCCGACCUGAGAGGGUGAUCGGCCACACUGGGACUGAGACACGGCCCAGACUCCUACGGGAGGCAGCAGUAGGGAAUCUUCCGCAAUGGACGAAAGUCUGACGGAGCAACGCCGCGUGAGUGAUGAAGGCUUUCGGGUCGUAAAACUCUGUUGUUAGGGAAGAACAAGUACGAGAGUAACUGCUCGUACCUUGACGGUACCUAACCAGAAAGCCACGGCUAACUACGUGCCAGCAGCCGCGGUAAUACGUAGGUGGCAAGCGUUAUCCGGAAUUAUUGGGCGUAAAGCGCGCGCAGGCGGUUUCUUAAGUCUGAUGUGAAAGCCCACGGCUCAACCGUGGAGGGUCAUUGGAAACUGGGGAACUUGAGUGCAGAAGAGAAAAGCGGAAUUCCACGUGUAGCGGUGAAAUGCGUAGAGAUGUGGAGGAACACCAGUGGCGAAGGCGGCUUUUUGGUCUGUAACUGACGCUGAGGCGCGAAAGCGUGGGGAGCAAACAGGAUUAGAUACCCUAGUAGUCCACGCCGUAAACGAUGAGUGCUAAGUGUUAGAGGGUUUCCGCCCUUUUAGUGCUGCAGCUAACGCAUUAAGCACUCCGCCUGGGGAGUACGGUCGCAAGACUGAAACUCAAAGGAAUUUGACGGGGGGCCCGCACAAGCGGUGGAGCAUGUGGUUUAAAUUCGAAGCAAC
rnacentral:rRNA from 1 species